rnacentral:rRNA from 1 species
AGUGAACGCUGGCGGCGUGCCUAAUACAUGCAAGUCGAACGCGAAAGUCCUUCGGGAUGAGUAAAGUGGCGCACGGGUGAGUAAUACAUGGGAACAUGCCCUUGGAUGGGGAAUAACGUUUGGAAACGAACGCUAAUACCGCAUAAUCUCGCGAGAGUAAAGGUGGCGCCGCAAGGGCUACCGUCCAAGGAUUGGCCCAUGUCCCAUUAGCUAGAUGGCGGGUAAUGGCCCACCAAGGCAACGAUGGGUAACUGGUCUGAGAGGAUGAUCAGUCACACUGGAACUGAGACACGGUCCAGACUCCUACGGGAGGCAGCAGUAGGGAAUAUUGCACAAUGGGGGAAACCCUGAUGCAGCAACGCCGCGUGAGUGAAGAAGGCCCUUGGGUUGAAAAGCUCUUUAGCGUGGGAAGAAGGUAGAUAUGGUGAAUAAUCAUGUUUGCUGACGGUACCACGAGAAUAAGCACCGGCUAAUUUCGUGCCAGCCGCCGCCGUAA